rnacentral:rRNA from 1 species
CCUACGGGUGGCAGCAGUGAGGAAUAUUGGUCAAUGGACGAGAGUCUGAACCAGCCAAGUAGCGUGAAGGAUGACUGCCCUAUGGGUUGUAAACUUCUUUUAUAUGGGAAUAAAACGUUCCACGUGUGGCAUUUUGUAUGUACCAUAUGAAUAAGGAUCGGCUAACUCCGUGCCAGCAGCCGCGGUAAUACGGAGGAUCCGAGCGUUAUCCGGAUUUAUUGGGUUUAAAGGGAGCGUAGGUGGAUUGUUAAGUCAGUUGUGAAAGUUUGCGGCUCAACCGUAAAAUUGCAAUUGAUACUGGCAGUCUUGAGUACAGUAGAGGUAGGCGGAAUUCGUGGUGUAGCGGUGAAAUGCUUAGAGAUCUCGAGGAAUACCGAUGGCGAAGGCAGCCCACUAGACGAAGACUGACGUUCAUGUGCGAAAGCGUGGGUAGCAAACAGGAUUAGAUACCCGAGUAGUC